CCUGGGGAGUACGGCCGCAAGGUUAAAACUCAAAUGAAUUGACGGGGGCCCGCACAAGCGGUGGAGCAUGUGGUUUAAUUCGAUGCAACGCGAAGAACCUUACCUACUCUUGACAUCCAGAGAACUUUCCAGAGAUGGAUUGGUGCCUUCGGGAACUCUGAGACAGGUGCUGCAUGGCUGUCGUCAGCUCGUGUUGUGAAAUGUUGGGUUAAGUCCCGCAACGAGCGCAACCCUUAUCCUUUGUUGCCAGCGGUUCGGCCGGGAACUCAAAGGAGACUGCCAGUGAUAAACUGGAGGAAGGUGGGGAUGACGUCAAGUCAUCAUGGCCCUUACGAGUAGGGCUACACACGUGCUACAAUGGCGCAUACAAAGAGAAGCGACCUCGCGAGAGCAAGCGGACCUCAUAAAGUGCGUCGUAGUCCGGAUUGGAGUCUGCAACUCGACUCCAUGAAGUCGGAAUCGCUAGUAAUCGUGGAUCAGAAUGCCACGGUGAAUACGUUCCCGGGCCUUGUACACACCGCCCGUCACACCAUGGGAGUGGGUUGCAAAAGAAGUAGGUAGCUUAACCUUCGGGAGGGCGCUUACCACUUUGUGAUUCAUGACUGGGGUGAAGUCGUAACAAGGUAACCGUAGGGGAACCUGCGGUUGGAUCACCUCCUUA
rnacentral:rRNA from 1 species